rnacentral:rRNA from 1 species
GAUGAACGCUGGCGGCGUGCCUAAUACAUGCAAGUCGAGCGAACAGACGAGGAGCUUGCUCCUCUGACGUUAGCGGCGGACGGGUGAGUAACACGUGGAUAACCUACCUAUAAGACUGGGAUAACUUCGGGAAACCGGAGCUAAUACCGGAUAAUAUAUUGAACCGCAUGGUUCAAUAGUGAAAGACGGUUUUGCUGUCACUUAUAGAUGGAUCCGCGCCGCAUUAGCUAGUUGGUAAGGUAACGGCUUACCAAGGCAACGAUGCGUAGCCGACCUGAGAGGGUGGGCGGCCACACUGGAACUGAGACACGGUACAGACGCCUACGGGAGGCAGCAGUAGGGAAUCUUCCGCAAUGGGCGAAAGCUUGACGGAGCAACGCCGCGUGAGUGAUGAAGGUCUUCGGAUCGUAAAACUCUGUUAUUAGGGAAGAACAAAUGUGUAAGUAACUAUGCACGUCUUGACGGUACCUAAUCAGAAAGCCACGGCUAACUACGUG